rnacentral:rRNA from 1 species
GACGAAGGAUGCAAGCGUUAUCCGGAUUCAUUGGGUUUAAAGGGAGCGUAGGCGGUCUGGUAAGUCAGUGGUGAAAUCUUCUCGCUUAACGAGGAAACUGCCAUUGAUACUGUCGGACUUGAGUACAGAUGCUGUGGGCGGAAUAUGACAUGUAGUGGUGAAAUACAUAGAGAUGUCAUAGAACACCGAUUGCGAAGGCAGCUCACAAAACUGUAACUGACGCUGAGGCUCGAAAGUGUGGGGAUCAAACAGG